rnacentral:rRNA from 1 species
UACGUAGGGGGCGAGCGUUGUCCGGAAUCAUUGGGCGUAAAGCGCGCGCAGGCGGCGCGGAGAGCCCGGCGUGAAAGCCCCCGGCUCAACCGGGGGAGGCCGUCGGGGACCUUCGGGCUGGAGGCCGGCAGGGGGGAGUGGAAUUCCCGGUGUAGUGGUGGAAUGCGUAGAGAUCGGGAGGAACACCGGUGGCGAAGGCGGCUCCCUGGGCCGGUCCUGACGCUGAGGCGCGAAAGCGUGGGGAGCGAUCCGG